GUAGAGAUUGUUAAAAAAACGUCUUAAAUUCCUAAUUAGCAUAGACUUCUUUUUGUAAGGAAUAUUGUAUAAAAUAUUUCUUAAUUGAUUUUUUAUUGUAAUAUUAAAUUUCCUUACCAACAUUGUUUGUAUUAAAGUUUCUAUUGACAUAACAUAUAUCACUUGAAUAUGGGAAACACUAAGGUGGUGUUUGUUUUUUUGGCUUUUUGCUGAAAAUCAUUUAGUUUUAGAAUUUAGAUUGUUUGUUUUUUUUUUUACUUUUUCAUGACUUAUUAUAAACUUUUUACUAAAUAGAAAAAAAUAAAAUAUGUAGCUUUUUCUAAAUAGAAAAAAUGACACAAUGGUUUUUUUUUAGUUUUUAAUACUUAAUAGAAAUAAAAUACUACAAAAACAAACAACCUAAUAUUUAAUACUAUUAAGUAUUAAGGUUCUAUUUAGAAUUAAGUAAAAAAAUAAACACCACCUAACUUUUUUGGUACCAAAAUUGAGAAUUGUUUUCUAUUUUUUAUUGUUCAAAUUUGUAUCAAAAUAUUAAUUUCUAUAUUUUUAUUUUUUUUAAAAAAGUGAAAAAGCGUUAAAACAAAUAUCACAUUGUUUAUCCGUGAAAGUAAAAAAUGUUCGUGAAAAAACCGUUUUACUUCAACAAACAAGUGCGUAUUUUGGAUAUUUAAAAAAAUGUAAGUAGUAAACAACCUUCAUUUUUAAUCAUUACAGCCUUCAGAAAAAUAGUUUUAUUAAUUUCUGACAUGUCAUUGAUUUAUUGAAAGUUGACUCAAAUUUGGAAAUGAGAAUAAAAUAGGCCUCCCACAAAUAACAAGUUGCCACCAAUUUGAUAAUCUUGGUCAUUAAAUAUGUGUAUAGUAAAGUCUAGUUGAAUUAUGAUAAUAAAUAUGUGAAAUUAAGGUGGAAUUAAAUAAGAUUAAUAUUAAAAAAAAUGAGAUCGAUGUAUAAAUUGUACAUAUAAUACAUAAUGAUUGCCCAAUUUUAUUUAUUUUUAAUUCUUCAAUAGGUAUUGAUUCCAUAUCGAUAUAAGUUUAUCCUUUAAAAAAAAAAAAGUAAAUUAAUUUCACAAAUAUUUAAAUGCAAUAAUGAAAUACAUAUUAAUUCCUCCAUCUUAUUGUUAUAAUUAAUUAUUCAUUAUAUAUAUUAUUGCUGAAUAAUUAAGCAUGAAAUAAGCAAAUUUGUGAUUGGUAAUUUGGCUAGGAGCUAGCCGCAUGUAGCAGAAGCAAGUGAAAGAGGGAAUUGAAAACUGUUGGCAUACUUGAAGGAGAUGGUAGAACCCGCGGCUAAAGGACUUCCAUCAUUGACAAGGCAAUCAUCAACAUCCAGACGCCUGAAUAUUUUAGGGUUCACCAGAACUGCCGAAGCAAACAUACCGCAUUUCAAAUGGAGAUUGGAGAUGGAGCAGCCUCCGGCGCAUGCAUUCGUGAUCUCCACACUGAAAGACGGUAUCCCACUUGGUAGAGUGCCGGCACUCGACUGUGCAAUCACGAUAUCGCCAUUUGAACAGUUUGUCUCAGCUGCUACCACUGGUCAACACCAUUGCAACCUUAAGAUAUAUAUCAUACUAAUGUAUAUAUAUAUUUAGUAUAUCAUACUUGUUACCAUCUUUUCUUGCCUCACGGCUUGCAUGUUGGCUUAAUAAAUGAUAAGAAAUAAAUAUAAAUUAAGGGCUGCUAAUACUAAAAAACAAGAAAUUUAUUCAAAUUAAUAAUACCUAAGUAAUGGAUUUUUGUUUAAAAAAGGAAAGAAUAUUUGUAUGCCAUGCAGAUAUAUGACAUCACAAACAGAAGGCAAAACAAAAGGAGAUAUCUUCAACUUUAACUUAUAUUUAAAAGAAAUGAUAAGUUAGAAUAUAUCAAACAAACCAGUAUAAAAUGGAAUCAUCAGAUUAGUGCUGAUGAUGCAAAACAAAAGGAGAUAUCUUCAACUUUAACUUAUAUUUAAAAGAAAUGAUAAGUUAGAAUAUAUCAAACAAACCAGUAUAAAAUGGAAUCAUCAGAUUAGUGCUGAUGAUGAUGAUGGACAACAUAACUAUAGAGACAUGGCAAAUUGAGAAGACUUUCAUAUUGGGUGUUUGAUCUUUCUUUUCUUUCUUUGCAAUCAUUUUAACAUAUACUAUCACAUAUAUAUACCUUCUUCGUAUUCAUAUUAUAUUUUAUUUCAUUGUUACCAUCCUAUCAAUUUCUCCACAUUUUUUCUAUUUUGCAUAUCCAUAAAUAAAUUAAGCUAAUUAAUAUCCUAGAAUGACAUUUCUAUUUGUCUUAAACUUUUUUAUUCUCAUUUGUUGAAAUCAUUCCCUUCCUCAAUGGCUAAUAUAUUCCAUUAUAGUAAAUAUCUAAAAAUUUUAAUAUCACACAUAUAUAAGAUAUUUUAUAUAUAUAAUAUAUGGUAUCAAGUAUCUUAUACAUAGAAGAAAGAUAGAAUAAAAUAUCUUAUAAUAUCUUAUAAUUAUAAGAUAUUUUAUUCUAUCUUUCUUCUAUGUAUAAGAUACUUGAUACCAUAUAUAUAUAUUGUGUAGUUAAUUAAAUCAACUUACAAUUUUCUUUUCAUUUAUUAUAUAUUUUCAUAUAUAAAUUAAGCUAAAUAGUAUCCUAGGAUAGCAUUUCUAUUUAUUUUAAGAUUUCUAUUCUCAUUUGAUCCUUUCCUAGAUGUAAGGCUACAAUUUGGGCGGGUUGGAUUCGGUUGAUGGCCAACUCGAUCUAACUUGAAUUAAAAAUUAAUUAAUUUAAACCUAAUCCAACCUAAACUUUAACCUAAAUUAAUUAUUCAACCCAAUCACAUUUUUUGAAGGUUUGAUUGAUUAAGUUACUUGGGUUAUAUGAUUCACAAUCCAUCUAUAAUUAUUUAAAAAAAAAAUUAUAUAUUUGUACCAUAAUUUAAAAAGUAAAUAGAACAAUUACAAUUUUAAGAUAAUAACAAAAGUGAAAAUAAAUUUAUGUCUUUCUAAAAAAAUGGAAAAGCAUAUGAUAGAAUUAUAAUUUGAUACUUUUCCUAAAAUCUAAAAAGAAAAUAAAUAGAAUAAAUGUUAUUAUAUAAAAUAAUAUAAAUUAUAAAUAUUAUAAAAAUAUUAAAUCAAAUUUAUGUUAAACUCAGAUUGUUUAAAUCUUAACUUGAACUCAAUCCAAGUUGAGUUCCGGUUGAAAAAACUCAAUCUCAACCUAACUUUAGUGUUAAAAUUAUUGCCCAGGGUUGUCCAAAGGCCAAGUUGGGUUGCGUUUGACUUGAGUUUGAUAAAUCCAUUCAAGUUGGAUUUCUAUAUGCUUGGCCAAUAUAUUCCAUUAUAUUAAAUAUAUCAAAACUUAUAAUUAAGUUAAUAUCACUUUUAAAUAACAUAUAUAAGAUGUUUUUGUCAAUCUUUCUUCUAUGCAUAACAUAUUUGAUCGAUGUCAUAUAUUGUAUGGAAGACCUUACACUUUUCACCCUUUUAUGCUAUCAUUUUCUCUAUCUUCAGUUUCCAUAUAUUGAGAACCUCUUCAUUUUUUUUUUUCGGGUCAGCUAGUGAAAUUAGGAAGUUGAAAUUGAGUCCAAAUCUUAAGUAUUAUGUAUUGAGUGGGAAAUUAGCUUAUAUAAAUCAAUAACAUGAUGUUAUUGACAUGAAUUACUAAGAGAAAAUUAGGAUUUUUUAUAUUCUCUUUGCUUAUUAUUAUUAUUAUUAUUAAUGAGUUAGAUUAGUUAGCUUAAGUGAGUAGUUUGGUUUUAAACAUUACUAAAUCUACUCUCCGUAUUUUUUGGGAUUUACAGUGACUUAGAAGAUUCGAGAUCAUCAUCAACAUAUUAAGGGUCAUUUAAGGAAGUAUGGUACUUGAGUUUAUUUGUGUGACCAAUUUUAAUUGUGUAUUUUAGAUUCAUUAAAAUAUGAAACAACCAACAAGUUGAAAACACUAGAAAGGAGUACUCAAGUGCCCAGAAAGGUGCAUUCAAGUGCUUGAGACUUUCUUUCUUUUCAUAUUUUCAUUAUUUUUUAUUUGGUUCAUAUUGUUAAUUUGAUUUUUCUCGUAUUAUUGGCCCAACUUGCUGGGGUUUUAAGACUAUAAACCCCCUUACAUGCCCUAGAACAAUAUUAUUAUUAUUCCUUGCAUGUUCCUAACAUUCUCAAGAACCUCAUUCUUGAUCGAGACUUGUUUAUGGAGGUUAACAACAUCCUCUUAUGGCAUUAAAAGGUUUAAUAAGGAGUCUGAGCUUGGUGCUAUGCUACACACAUGAAGACCAGUGUAGCUGUUGACCAAUAUAACACUCUUGGAGAAGGUGCUAUCUGGUUUACAUAUAUAUACUUAAAUUCAUAUUUAAUGAAUUCUCUUUGUGCAUAGUUGAUUGGACCCAUCGUGCCUUUUUUUUUAUUUAAUUGCAAGACUCUAUAAGUGGUUUCCAUGUACAUCAUAUGUUUAUCAUAUAAUUGGACUUAUUCUAAAAUCUUGAUAUGUCAUUGAAUAAAGAAAUUUUUAAUCGUGAAAUAAACUAAAAUUUUGGGUAUGAAAUCAUGACUACCUAUUCCCUUCCCCAUGUUUUUAGAAAUUAAGAUUUGAACUUUUAAUUAGUGUAAGAGUAAGUUACAUUUUAAAAUUUUAAAUUCUUAUUCUUAUUUAAUCUUGAUUCAUGGAAACUACGGUGAGUGGGAUCAUCCAUAUACAAUUCACAGUACUUUCAUAGAAAUAAUUAUCCUAAUUAUGGAAUUUUUUUUGAAAAUGUAAGAUGAACAAAUUUAGAAUAUUAUUAAAUUGAGUUGGAGGCCUUGAAGAACUGAAGCUAAAAUAUGAAUAAGAUAAAUUCAAUAAUGAAAACAAUGACACAAGUGUCAAGGCCCCCCAUAAUCUCUUUAAUUGGGAGAGUCCUAAUGGGUUUCACAAGAUAGCUACAUAUAAACAUGCUACAAAGGCUUAGGAUUUUUUGGGUCACACAUCGAGACAGUUUUUUAUGAAAUUUUCCAAAAUACAAAUAACUUUGGGAAUAUAAAAAAUAAGAAGGUGAAUUUUUUUUUUCUAUGAUGAGUUGAUUGAUAUUGUCGACUACUCUAGUUUCAAUGAUCUAGGGGAAAUAAAUUAUGACCAAGAUUAAUUUUACUAACAUUACCAUCUAAAUUAUAACCCCUUUAGGUAAUACACAGAAAUAAUCGCCCAAGGUAGCCAUUGUAAAUUUUCUUUAUUGAAUAUUUAUGAGGAAUCAAAUGAAAUAUAAGAUUAUUUGUAUAAAGGUUAUUUUAAUCAAUUUUUGAUGAUUACAAAAUAAAGUUAAGGUUACCGAUGAAUUACGCCGCUUGAAUGAUUUUCUUAAUAUAAUCUGUCAUCUUUCACAAACAUAAUAAAUAAUUUUAUUAUUAAUAGCUAAGUCAGAUAUAAUAUUUAAAUUUAUUUAAAUAAAUUAUAUUAUUUCGUAUGUGAUAAUCAUAUUGAUUAAUAUUUUCAUUUUAAAAAAUAUUUCAAAUGCAUCAUGCUAGUAUGCCUUCUUCUUGUUUAAAUGGUGACAUAGGAGAUACAUAUAAGUUUUUGGAAGACAAGUCAUUUUCUAUCUUCCUUAUAAAAUAGUAAUACAAAUAAAAUUAUAAAUUGUGUGGUUAAAAAUAUGCCACGUAAUUAUAAUAUUAAAUAAUUAUUUAUUUUAAUUAAUAGAAAAUUUGAAACGUAUUCUUAAUAGAAAACAUGAAAGUUAGAAGAACCAAUAAAUUAUUAGUUUUCUAAAUUCUUGAUAAAAUUAAGAGUUUAUUUAGUAAUGAUUUUAAGAAGUAUUUUUAAUUUUUUUUAGUAUUUAAAAAAUAAAAAAUUUUAAAUAUUAGAAAAACUAUAAAUAUUUCACAAAAUUACUACUAAUGCAUUAUUACCAAAUGCACUUAAGAGUGCGUGUGAAAGUAUUUUUACUUGAAGUGUUUUUAAUGAAAGUAUUUUUUAAAAAAAAUAUUCUUAAGAAAAUCAUUAAUAAAUUUUUUUUUUGCAUAAAACAUUAUAAGUGAUUUUUAAAAUUUUUAAAAGUGUUUUAUAAAUUUUAUUAAACAUCUAAUAUAUUUUUAAACACUUUUUAAGUUAAAAGUGCUUAUUAAAAUCACAACUAAACAGAGUCUAAGAUAUGAUGUUUUAAAAUAUGUUUCUUUUCAAAAUAAUAUUCAAAACGGAGAGGGGAACAAAAUUGUCUCUAAUGGCCAACAAUGCUUUACUUUUACUCAUUAAUCGGAUUUGGAUACUAAAAAAAUAAAGAUGAAAAAAAAAGUUAAUAAAAAUAUAUUUUUUUCAAUUCUUAUAGAAAAACCCACUAAAUCUAAAAAUAAAGUUGAAAUAUAUAUAUAUAUAUAUAUAUAUAUAUAUAUAUAUAUAUAUAUAUACAUAUAUUACAGUGAAAAAUAUAUAAAUUUAUAAUAUCUAUUAGUUGAAUUAUGGAAGAUAAAUGCAAAAAUUUGAAAAAAAAAUCAAUUUUUAUUAUUUUGAUUUUAAAAAAACCUACUAAAUAUAAAAAUAAAGUUUUUUUAUUAUUAUUAAUUUUCCUUCAAAAUAAGGUUUUAAAUAUAUAUAAUGAUGAAUAAAGUCAACUUCAAUUUGAGUUAAAAAAAUUGUCCUUAAAAAUUAAUUCUGAGUACUAACACAUUGCAUAAUUGUUGAAUCUUGACAUCACCGUUGUGGACGGUGAACUUGAUAUGAUAUUCAAAAGAAAAAAAAAAUUAUAUAUUUAUCAAGCUUUGACAUUUGAAUUAAAUAAAACUUAGAAUAAAAAAAAUGGAAUACAUGUUUAAAAUAAGAACCCAAUCAAGAUAAUAAUUAUUAUGUUGACAGUUUGUAAUUUUAUUUUAUUUUUUUGGUUAAAAAAAAAGAAAGAAAAGAGAAUAUAAGAUUCCAUUUAUGUGGAGUAAUUGGUAGAGGUAAAAGUAGGUUUUGAUACGAAGACAUGGUUUUGAUGACCGGUUCACAUGUUGAGGUAGACAUGUGUGAGGUGUACCCAUUAAUUUUAAUUUUGGUAGGUGGAUGACAAUGUUAUUAAUGUGUAGAUUUAAGGUUGUUUGGUAAAACUUGAUAUUUAUUAUUUAAUGAUUUGAAUUGAUUUAAAGUUAAAUUAUACUUAAGUUGUUGACUUCAAAUUUAUUACUUAAAUUUUACUUUAAAUAUUAAGGUUAUUUGAUAAAAUUAAUUUAAAAUUUAUUUUAAAUCAUUAAAUUGAUAUAUUUAUCCUCAUAAAUUAUAAUUAGGGUAAAAGAGGUUGAAUAACAAUGGAAGUUAUGGAGCAACAAAAAAUAUUAGGGAUGUAAUUAUAACAAAUACAAAUAAAAAAGUAAAAUAAAAAAUUGAAUUUAAGAAUAAAUUAAUUAUUUUUAUUUAUUAUUUAAAGUUGUUUUUUGACGUUAAAUCGGAUCAUUAAGUUAUUUUAUUAAACAUGCUUAAUUUAGUUAAUGACUUAAAUUAAAUUAUUAAGUCAUUUUAAGUUAUUAAAUUGGUUUAUCAAACACUCGCUCAAUCAAUUUUCUUAGUUUAGUGCUUUGCCUGAUAAAAUGAGAUGGGAAGUUAAUGAACUAUUAGAAAAUAUUUUCCAACUUUUUUACAAUAAUUUAAAAAACAAAUUGAUGUUUUUUACAAUAAAAAUCUUUUUGAUAAAAUGUUUUAUAUAACAUACAAGUUCAAAACAUUCCAAAUUUUCAAAAAGAAUUUUGUUGUAAAAAAACAUUAUAAAAUUGUUUUUGAAAAUUAUUGUCAAAAAGUUGGAAAACAUUCUCUACCAGUUCACUAAUUUCUCAUCUCAUUUUAUCAUGCAAAACACUAAACUAAGAAAGUUUAUCGAGGGUUUAGUAAAGUGAUGACUUAUUGUGGACCCCGCAUUUUCGGCUCAUGCGUUUCCCACUCGAUGGCGAGCUAGAUUUUUAUUUGAAAAAUUGAUUUUUAUUGAUUAUUUGAAAAUGACUUGGAGUCGCCACUUAUUUUUGUUUUAUUUUUAAAAGGGUAAACAAAAUAAGAAAGAAAAACCCUAAGUGUGACUCCUUAUUUUGGAAAAAGCGGUUUGUGAAAAACCGGAUCGGGUUCGGGGGUCAGGUUACUUAUCGGGAAGGUACGGUAAAGACCGUAGCACCCCUUUAAGUCCCUAAAGUCGGGUCUCUACUAAUAAAACGAAGCUGAUGUGGCAAUGAUGAAGAAAACAAUGAAUAUUCAAAGCGAUCAUGCACAUAUGAGUAUCAGAAUAUGCAAUAGAGGAUAACCGAAGUGGAAGUGGAUGCGUACCUGAUCAGCAAACGACAACGCGCUAUCACAAAAUGGGAUUAGUGCAUAGUAAUGAACAUAAAGUAUAACACUCAUAUCACCCAACCAGAUAAAGAAGCACCAAUAUCAUGCAUAGUACUAUUUCAAAUUCACUUUAAUUUUAAAGAAGAUUAUUUGAUGUAGGGCCCCCACCAAAGCCCGUUUAUUUUUGCAUGAAUUAAUUCCGUAAACUCCAUCACUCGGAAUUACAAAAAUUAAUUCUUGCUUAUUUUUUAAAACAUUUUAAAAGAUCGUGGAAGAUUUGAAAAUUGCUUGCCGAAUAGAAAGUGGAAGCAAAUUUUAUUAGAAUUGAUAUUUUGAGGCAUAAUAAAACUAAAACCAAGGAUGAAGAUUUGAAAAAGUUAAAAUUAUUUGAAAAUCGAGAAAUUGAAAAACUAUUUGAAAAUUGGGAUUUGAGGGAUUAUUUAAAAAAACCAAAGGUGAAACCAAGUCAGAAAGACAUGUGGCUUAAAAGUGGCCAUGCACCAUGCAGAGUGGAGUUGGCCACUUUUAUGGCAGUUUCAGGAAGAUAUGCUACAGCCUCAUAGGAUUCUGAUCCAUAAGCUAUUUGAGAUGGGCAGCAGGCUGACUCAUCAAAAUGACAAUGAAGGUCGUCUCAUCAUCCACAGAGGCCCCACCACAUAGAAUAGAAACUUCUCUCAAGGAUCUCUUUCACAAUCUGUGCAUCCAAAACUUCAAAUUCUUGCAGUCCAACAAUGCAAGCUUGCUGUCUUCUAUCUUCUCUCAUACAAAGUUUCUUUCUAUCGCUGAGAAGAUCAAGGAAUUUUCCGCCAUACAUCUCAAAAUAGUUUAACCACAACUUAAACCUUUGAUUCCGAUAAGUUGGCUGAUGCAACCAUCUAAUAAGAUCUUCGGCAACUCUCAUCAUUAGUAACAAGCUCAUCCAGCACGGCACUAAAACAAACUCCAUUUUGCAUGUCAGUCGGUACAGUGAGAGAAACACAUAAGCAUUCCCACUAAUGCCAUGGCAAACCCCAACUCGCUUGAGCAGCCCAUGAUUCCAAACUACCUCUGCUAGAUUUAAGCACAGUAAAGGGAGCAUCCCAAGGAUGAUGAAUCCACUCAGUGGGCACUCUUGCCAGCUCGGGCAGCCAAUGUCUCACAUAUUCACCCUCUGGAUCAUAAUUGGAGCUUUGAUUCUCUGCCACUUCAGCACCAAAAUCUGCCCAGCUCAAUGCCAAAAUCUGCCCAGCUCAAUGUCCCCGUCAUCUGAGCAUCUACCUUGCCCAGAACCUUUCUUCCUUUGAUACUGAGAUACAUCACCAUGUAGUGCAUAAAAGUUUGAUGGGCUAUGCACUUACUACCCUGGACUCUGAUGUGUGCGUAGAAAAGAAUUGCUUGGAUUGAAGCCUUCAGCUGGGAUCGGACGAGUGACAUUAGCAUCUUCAAGGCUGCUCUCAAUGCAAAAUGAAACACCAAGCCCAUCAACUCUCGAAUCAGUCAUAUGUUAAGCUCCACAGUCAACUGUACCCCGCUUCAUAGCAUAUUUCUAAUUCUCUGUUACCAGUACACCAUACUUCAAAUUUUACCUCAUCAUCAGCCAUCAGUAGAGGGACAUCAUCAUCUUCAGUUAGCAUGUGCUCAAACUAUUCUUGUGCUGAGGAUUUAAGGUCAUUCAUAUGUGGAGGAGGUAUGUGGCAGUGUCUGGGUACAUAUAUGACAGUCACCACUCAUCAAAUGGAAGAUGUCAAUGGCUUCAUCAGGCCUUUUUACUUUCCCAGAAAUACUGACUCUUUGAUUGAGCUCGAGCCUCCACCUAACUUCGGCCCAAUGCUCGCAUCAUCUUCAUCCAUGCUGAACGUCAAAAACCAUUUUCCAUUUUCAAUGAAACACUGGCUGGUAACACGAUGUGCGUGACCCUCAACUUCCUGAACUAUUCUUGACGUCAUGACCCCAAACAGUCAACUCACCAAGUCAUCAGUUGUAGUAGUUUAAAGCCCCUUUGAACGAUGGUGAAUAUUCCUCACCACAGCGCAACCAAUUUUCUAUCUGUAUUUUAUCCCACCACCUUAGAAAUCUUCGAACAUUUAUGUCUGAUGACGUCCCACACUUAUUAUUGAAACAUCUUUAUUUCAAUCAUUGACAAUUCCAACCACUUCUCCAUCAUGAAUACAAAGUUCCGCCUAUGAAUACUUUGGCUGCUGGCGUACUUUCAAACGAGCCUUCUUCCAGUGCGCUGAAGGCAUAAGGUAAGCUGACGAACCUUUAACUGCAGCCACAACGACAAGACUCCAUAUAGGAUGUCUAGACGUGCCCUGGUAAGAUGCUUUACAUUGAGAUUUACACCUUGUAGUUGAUACAACCCAGCGAGCUUGGAGCGAGAAGCUUCUUUUGAUCGUCUGAAGUCAUCAUCUGAGGAGUUGUGAGUACAAAUCCCACCAUUCUAUGUCAUCGGAUAUGUCACUCUGAAGCCAUUUCUUGCGUGCACAAUUAGUAUCCUUAGUGACAGCAAAUGAGCCACCAACCUGUGGCUUCUAGACAUAUUAUUCAUCACCAUUGUGCUCGAUAGUAAUAAUCACCUUCUCAAACAUCAAGUAAACUGGGUAGAAUCCCACACCAAACUGUAUAAUCGUGCCCACAUCAGUGCCAGUAGCUGAAGCUUCCAUGAAUUCCUCAUGAAGGUUACGUGGUGUGAAAAUAUAGGCAUGAUGGGUUUGAAAGAUAUGGGCACCUUUAGUGGACCGAGUAGCAGGAGAGAAAUGGACGGGUGGGCAUUGGAAGGUGGUGGUGAUUAGUGAGGUAUGUGCAUGGGAAUAGGGAUGAAGCAUAUAUAUGGGUAGUGAGAAAAUGGGUAUAAAGGAUAUGGCUAUGUGGAAUGGAUUGUAGCAGAUGGGUGUAAUGGAUGGAGGUAAUGGGCAUCAUGGAUGGAAUGGGUAAUGACUAUUGACACGGCUAUGAAGUUCCAAUGUCCCUUGAUGGUCAGGAUCUACAGAGAUGACACCUCUAUAUUCCUGUAGUGCACCCCAACACAUCUCCAAUGUGCUCAUGAAAGGCUGCCCUCAGGUGUAGAAGAUGAAGAUCUGCUUUGAACGCUAUUGCCCUUGACAAUUCUGCUAUUGCUUUCUAAACUGUUGCCAAGUUCCAGAUUAUAGCACAUAUUCCUUGCUUGUAACAGCUUCCCAUUUGGAGCGUAUACCCAUAUUUAGCCAGUCGUAUGGCUGGUUGGAAUAAACUUCUCCAAACCAGUCACCCAUGUUUCAACCCAGCAUCACGAAGGCCAGCUAUCUCCUUAAGAACACCCAUAGCCAGUGUACCUUGAUACUUGGCUCUGGGAUUGUUCUCAUACAUGUUUUGUGGAGCAACUAAGGGAGCAGUUUCCCUCAUGCCAAAAGCCUCGGAUUUUGAGGUUGAUGAAGAUUGAACAAUCAUGAAAGCUCCACCUCCUAUUCCACUUGUUAUCGGAUUAAAUAUCCCCACACGCCAUGCAGUUGCAACUUCAGCAUUAACAGCAAGCCUUCCUUUUCUAAGCGUAAAUGCACCGAUUCCAGAGCAACGGCCAUCAUCGACAGCAACCACACCUAGCUUCCUGUGAAUCCCCUUCUCUAGCUUGCUUCCACUGCAUAAACCUUCUUUGCACUUGCUUGUGUUAACCAGAUCGCAAGAAUGCCACUCCCAGUUCCUUUUCAAUCAAAAUCAAAUCAGAGUAACAAUUGAUUUCUCCAACCAGUUUUUCCUAUUUCAACAAUAUCUUCCGCAGCAUCAAGAAGAAUUUGGAGAUAUAUCAGCAGCCAUGGAUGAGAAUAUCUGUGACUAAGACCAACUCGGUCAACAAAGGAAACCCACAAUUCUCUUCGCGUGAUUGCAUGACUACACAAUCUCUGAGAAGCAUAGAUCUAAAGAGUGCAUCAGCGGAUUAUAGGGCCCGAGGGAUUCAAUGGCGACGAAAAGGAUAGAUUCUCAGAGGUAAUGAUUGUGUCUGCCAUAGUGAACCUUCGUUGCAUAGCAUUGAAUUAGAGAGGAAAUAUUCAUGGCUGCGAGGAUGAGUUAUCACCAUGCUUCCCCUUUAGUGGUGGGGUCCAGUAGGGAUAUUUUAAUACCCACUACGCCUUGGGAAUUCUGGCAGACUCACUUACAGGAACAACAUCAUGAAAGGUACCCUUGCUUAUUUUAGUAUCCUCAAAGACGAGAACUUAAUCACCACUUUCUGUUCACUUUUGUAGCUGAUGGAGAACUUUGGACACCACGCAUUCAUGCAUAGGUAGCUUGACGAGUUCUUCCCACUGCACUAGCAAAGCUCCAUGGCCAAAGACAAAAUCACUACAUCUGGGGGGAAACACUAGCAAUAUAUCUUUGGGUCUACACGGCAUGCUCGCAAACAUCAUCACUUGGAGAACCAGGAAGUUUCACAAACAUCGGAACGGCCCCAUGAUCGAUUGUCAUUUGGAAAUGCAUAAUAGAAAGAAGAAUUCUCUGCUCGCAUCUCGCUCCAAACAGUCUAACACAAACUAACCCAUAAUGAACGGCUUUGAACAUCCUUCUCCUAGCUAUUGGUUUCUCAAGGCUGAGUCACCUUACCAUACUCUCUUCUUUUCUUUAGUAAGCUUCUUCUUCAAAACUUUCAGAGUCUUCUCAAAAACACCCAGUCCGGACAGUCAAACUCAAACAGAAUACCCGCCCUAAAAGAAAUAGAAAUUAGAGGAUAGAGAAUGAAGAAGGAAAACAUAGCAAGAAUGGAUGGAUUAAGGAAUUACUAAGCAACAUCUCGUUUCAUGAAUGAUGAACGAGUGGCUAGCUGGUGGGAUGAGUUAAAAAUCCACAAUAUAAUCAUCAGAACAUCCAAACCAAACUCAAUGAGAAUCCAAUCAUUUUCAGAAGAAAAGAAAAUCAAGCACAGGAGAGAAAUAAAGCAGAGUAUCAUACAUGAAUAAGCAUAUUCAAUCGAAACAAACCCCGUGGCUCUUGACGUCCACGGCAAACAAUCCAAACUUUGCUCGUAAAUCAGUAGAGAAUGCGACAGUAUAUUAAGAAACAAGAACAUACCUAGCUUGAGGGCUGUCUGGGAAUUCCAUCGGCAACCUUCUUCAAUCUCUCCUUCUAGCAAUCGAAUACCCUCCCUGAAGCUCCUCUCCAGCUCAAGAGAUCCCCCUCUCUGGUUCCCUCUCUACAGCUUUUCUCUCAAGCUAAAAAUCUCUGCUAGCCUCCUCUGAAUCCUCUCUCUGAAGCCUAAUGAAAAAAAACCCCCCUCCAAAAAUAUCUCUCAGACCAGCAUGAGAAGCUCCCCCCAGCUUGCUUCCUCUCCCGCUCCAGCUAGCCAAAAACACCUCCCAAAAUCUCCGUCAAACAACCAUAAAAAAAAACCUCCUCCUCUGCAGCCUCAAAACUCCCCUCUGAAAAGCACCUCCUCUCCCUGCAGAUACGCUCCUUCUCCCGCUCCAGCUAGCCAAAAACACCUCCCAAAAUCUCCGUCAAACAACCAUAAAAAAAACCUCCUCCUCUGCAGCCUCAAAACUCCCCUCUGAAAAGCACCUCCUCUCCCUGCAGAUACGCUCCUUCUCCAACAGAAAAAGGCACUCCUCACUCCUACCUGCAGCUGGCCUGCCACCCCUCAACAGAAACAAAACUCCUCUCUGAAGAUCCCCUCCCAGGUGUCAACCAUUCAUUGGCUCCUUCAACUCCACUACCUGAUUCACUGAAAGCCAAUUACGAGGUGACUCGUGGUUCCUUGAGAUUGUGACACCUGUCCAAAGUUAGCUGCAGAAAAUGAACCCCAAAUGGGGGUCUACACUUAUAUAUAUAGCUAGAUAUCAAAACUCACAAUCUCACUUUUAAACAUUCCCUUUGUUACACAAGUGGUGUGUAGUCAUUAACAAAAUUGCAUGAAAUAUCUUGUGUGUAUUAUCAUGCACAUCAGAGAUUAAUAUCUAAAAAGUUCAACAAUUUAUUAUAUCAUAACAAUGUAUGUAAUGUGAUUGGUUAUAACAUAUGCAUAGUGAUAAUUAAUUUCUUGAAUGUAAAGUAUAAUUUAUUUUUGCAACUUAAUAUAAGUUAUGUACAUUUUGACCAAAUAAGAAUUUAGCAUAUAUCUCAUACUUUUAGAACUUUAGAAAAAUUAAACAAGUUAUAUAUAUAACAUAUGCAAGAGAUAUUUAUUUUAUGAAAAAAUUAGUAAAAUCAUACAUAUCAUAACUACUCACAAAAAUUAUUGCAAUCAAAACUAUAAUAGAACUUAUAAUCUUAUGACUCCACAAAUUCUAGGAGUUUUGCAAGAAUGAAGGUAUUGUGAGACACAACAUAAUUAGACAUACUUCAUAGAAAAAUGGAUGAAUAAAACCCUUUUAGAGAGAGCACGAUGCAUGCUUUUGAAUGGAGGGUUGUUAAAGGAAUUUUGGGUUGAAGUAGUAAAUUUAGCUUGUUAUCUUAUGAAUAGAUCUCUUUUUGUAGGACUCCUAAAAAGGUAUGGUUUGGUCCUCCUUCUAAGUAUGCAAAUUUAAGAAUUUUUUGUUGUUUUGCUUAUGCUCAUGUGAAUGAAGGUAAUUGGAACCAAGGGUGAGGAAAUGCAUAUUCUUAAGAUAUACAGAUGGAGUGAAAGUGUACAAGUUAUGGUACCCAUAUUUAAAAUUCUCCACAUUUCUUAUUAGUAGGGAUAUGACUUUUAAUGAGUCUAUAAGUUUGAGUCCUAGAAAGGAGCAACUUUAUGUAGGAAAUAACCCCAAUGUGAGGGAGAAGAUGGAGUUUGUGCCUAAAGCUUCAAAAACCAUAUCAAAAACAAUUUCAAUAAAGCCAAAGAAGAAAUAAAUGCAAUAUCUUGAUGAUAAAGAAAAUGCACCAUAAGAGCAACAAUAUUGUUUAGUAAGAGAAAGAAUGAGGAAGUCUAUUAAACCACCACAAAAGUAUGUUUAUGUAGAUUUGGUUGUUUGUGCACUUAGUGUGGCGGAAAACAUUGAAAAUGAGGAACCUCACACUUAUCAUGAAGUCAUCACUAGUAGAGAGUCUACAUAGUGGAUUGUUGCUAUGAUUGAGGAGAUUGAAUCUCUUCAAAAUAACCAUACUUGGCAACUAGUCGAGAAACCUAAAAAUCAAAAGAUUGUUGAUUGCAAAUGAGUCUUCAAAAGAAAGGAAGGAAUUCUAGGAUUGGAGGAUGUUAAGUUUAAAGCACACUUGGUUGCAAAGGGAUAUACUCAAAAGGAGGGUAUGAACUUCAAUGAAAUGUUUUCUCUAGUUGUGAAGCAUAGCUCAAUCAGGGUAUUGUUUAUUAUGGUUGCUUUAUUUGAUUUAAAGUUAGAGCAACUUGAUAUCAAAAUUGUUUUUCUACAUGGUGAGUUGGAAGAAUAAAUUUAUAUACAUCAACUUGAAGGAAUCAUUAUUUCGGUUUAGGAAAACCAUAUUUAUUUGUUAAAGAAAUCUCUUUAUAGUUUGAAGCAAUCUCCUAGGCAGUGAUAUUGUUAGAAAUAUGGAAUAAUUGUAUUCUAUUUCUUAAUUAAAGAAUAUACAUCAGUGCCUUUAUAUAGGAGGCAUAUGUGUGCGGUACAAGUAAUAUGUGUGCGGUACAAGUAAAAUGUACUAUACAAGUAACCUAACUGGGCCUAAAGCCCAUAACAUAAUAUACUUUAACAGCCCCCCUCAAAUUCAAGGUGGAUGUGAGACCAACUUGAGGUUGUCAACUAAAUCACGAGUACGUCUCUUAGGAAGUGACUUGGUGAAGAUAUCUGCAAGUUGAUCUUUGGAGGAGACGGAGAAAAGCUUAAGAGCACCAUGGACAAGAUGAUAACGGAUAAAAUGACAAUCAAUCUCGAUGUGUUUAGUCUGUUCAUGAAAGACAUCAUUGUGAGCAAUAUGAAUGGCACUCUGGUUGUCACAAUAAAGAGGAGUAGCAGAGGAGGUGGACACACCCAAAUCCUUAAGAAGCCAUCUUAGCCAAAGGAGCUCAGAUGUGGUAUCAGCAAGGGCACGAUAUUCUGCUUCAGUACUGGAACGGGCCACAAAAGUUUGUUUCUUACUUCUCUAAGAAAUCAAAGAAGAACCAAGGAGGAAUCAAUAACCUGUAAUGGACCUACGAUCAGUAGGAUCUCCUGCCCAAUCAGCAUCAGAGAAUGCAUGGAGUACAAGAGGAGACUGAGCUGAGUAGAAAAGGCCAUGAAAAGGGUACCCUUCAGGUAUCGAAGAAUGCGCAGAACAGCAGCAUAGUGAGUUGAUCGUGGAGUAGACAAAUACUGGCUCACUUGAUGAACAACAUAGGAGAAACUGUGAGAUAAACUAAGCUGCCAACCAAUCAUCUGUAAAGAGAAGUAUUAGACAAUGGUUUCCCCCCCGAGGGUGUCAGAUGCGCAUUAAGUUCAACUGGAGUGUCAACAGUCUUGCUGUCAGUGAGUCCAGCUUGAGACAAUAGGUCAGAAGCAUACUUGGCUUGAGUAAUAUAAAGACCAUCUGUGGAAUGAGUAAUUUCAAGACCCAAGAAAUAACUGAGAUGUCUAAGAUCUUUCAUCUCAAACUGCUGACUGAGAAAAUCCUUGAGUUCUUGAAUGCCACUAAGGUCAUCACCAGUUAUGAUCAUAUCAUCCACAUAUAGAAGAAGCAAAAUAGUGCCUUUAUCAGUACGACGAAGAAAUAAGGCAGAAUCAUACGGACUGGCAGUGUAACCCAAGCGAAAAAUAGUGGAGCUGAACUUGGCAAACCAAGCUCGUGGGGCUUGUUUAAGACCAUAAAGUGCACGUCGAAGAUGACAAACCUUGUUUGAUUCAACAGAGAGACCAGGAGGAGGUUGCAUAUAGACUUCUUCACUCAGAUCCCCAUUAAGGAAAACAUUUUUAACAUCCAUCUGAAAAAAAUCCCAUUUACGAGCAGCAGCAACAGCUAAGAGAGCACGAAUAGAUGAGAUACGAGCAACUGGAGCAAAAGUCUCUUCAUAAUCAAUCCCAUACUCUUGUGUAAAACCUUUGGCAACAAGACGAGCCUUGUAGCGCUCGACGGAUCCAUCAGAGCGAGUCUUGAUCUUAUAGAUCCACUUACAACCAACCACAGAUUGUCCAGGAAGGAGAGUAACCAGGUCCCAAGUAUGGUUUUUGGUUAAUGCAUCAAGUUCCUCUUUCAUUGCAAUUUACCAUAAAGAGUCAGUAGAGACCUCACGAUAGGUUUGAGGCUCGUGAAGUGUAGCAAGGGUAGUGUAACAAUGAUAGUCAAGGAGGUGUGGAGGAAUGGAUCUUACCCGGGUUGAGUGGCGAGGUGGAAUGUCUUGUGGAGGAUCUUCAGGCAGAGCAGGAGCAGGGGACCCAGGCUCAAAGUGGGGUAGCUCGUCAUCAAUCUGUUCAUCUGCAACCUGUCUAAGAGAAGCAUCAAAGAUAUCUGGAGAGAAGUCCAAAGGAGGAUCAAAAGUAUUUGUAGAAGGAACAAGAGACUCAUCUGGAAAGAUUUCUAAAACAGAGGAGUUAGUCAAGGAAGAACGAAAGUGAGAGAAUUCAACAAACAAUCGAUGUUCCCAAAAGACAACAUUAGGAGAAACACGAAGACGAUGAGAGACGGAUCAUAACACCUAUACCCCUUUUGAGUUUCGCCAUAACCAAGGAAACAACAGAGUCUAGAUCGAGACUCAAGUUUGUUGUGCUCAUGAGGCUGAAGAAGAACGAAACAAGCAGAUCCAAAUGAGCGAAGGUGAUGAUAGUCAGGGGGUGACCCAAAGAGACGCUCAUACGGAGUCUAAUUAUGGAUGACAGCACUUGGAAUGCGGUCAAUUGCAUGAACAACAUGAAGACUAGCUUCACCCCAAAAUGGGGCAGGAACUUUGGCAGAAAAAAGUAGAACACGAAUAGUGUCAAGAAUAUGACGAAGUUUUCUUUCGACUCGACCAUUUUGCUGAGAGGUACCUGGACAAGUUAGAUGAUGUAUAGUGCCAUAGGAAUGUAACAGAGCUUGAAACGCAUAUUGAGUAUAUUCAAGAGCAUUAUCAGAUCGAAAAGUUUUGAUACGUUUGGAGAAUUGAGUUUCAACCAUUUUUGCAAAAUUGCUAUAUAUUGGUAAAAUUUCGGAACGAGAUUUCAUAGGAAAAAUCCAACUAUAACGAGAAUAUUCAUCAAUAAAAACAACAAAAUAUCGAGAUCCACCAAUACUAGCAACAGGAGAAGGUCCCCAAACAUCAAAAUGAAUUAACUCAAAAAUACUAUUAGAAAUGGAUUCACUGUUAUUAAAAGGCAAAGUUGGCUGUUUUCCUAACUGACAUGAAGUGCAAUCAAAAUUGUCUUUAGACACAGAACCCAACAGACCCCUAGACACUAACUGUUGUACCCGAGAAGAUGGUGCAUGACCAAGACGAGAAUGCCAAAGUGCAAGAGAAGGUAAGGAAAAAACUACAGCCGCUGCAGCAGCAACAAAAACAGGAGCAACAGCUGGAAGAUGAAGAUUGUUCACGGGAAACAUACGCCCAACUCUAGGACCGGUCCCAAGCUCCUGCCCCGUCCUCGGAUCCUGCAUAAUACACCCAGGAUAGUAAAAAAUAAGGCGAUAACCUAGUUCAGCUAAUUGUCCCACAGAGCACGAAUUAUAGGAUAGAGCAGGUACGUGGAAGACUCUAGGAACAGAAAGAUUAGAGGUUGAAACAAAACCUAGACUAUUUCCAUGCAUGGUGAAACCAUCAGCUAUAUGAAUAUUUAGAGGAUGUGGUGUAGGGUCAAGGUUGGAGAACAGGGAUGAGUGAGGUGUCAUGUGAUUGCAGCAAACAGAAUCAAAAAGCCAAGUUUGAGACUUAUCAGGUAGAACAGAUAAGGCAGUGGAAAGAGAUGCAUUACCAGCCAUACGAACAGCUUGAGCUAUGAUCUCCUGUAGUUCAGUGGAGGAGAGGUUGAUAGUAGAUCCAGAAGACUGGGACUCAACUGAGAUGGAUGUCGUUGGCGGAGUAGGCUCAGUAUUAGCAACAGCAGCAGUAGAUUUGUUACGACGGUAACAAGUCUCAAUGGUGUGGCCAGGACGCUUGCAAUAGUUGCAGAACUUUUUGUUGGUCUGCUUGCGAUGAUUGCUAGAGCCAGAAAAAUCACCUAAUUGCUAAGGUUGCUCUAUGAGUGGAGUAGAUGGAGUAAUAGCCAAAACAUUGAGCUUAUUCUAGGCUUGAAGGGUUGCAAGACGAGCUUCUUCUCUAACUAACUCAUUCACAACAGUAUCAAGAAAGGGAGCAGGACUGCGAUUUAGCAGCUGACCACGAAUGGGCUCAAAGUCCUUGUGAAGUGACAUCAAGAAUUCAUAGAGGCGAAAUUCAUCUCUGAUGGAAGCAUAUUGCUGAGCAUCUUUUGAGCAUGCCCAAGUUGGAUCAGAAAGGUCAAUUUAGUCCCAAAUGAAGCGAAGCUGAUCAUAAUAGUCAUUGAUGGAUUGCCCCGGUUCUUGCCUGAGUUGAUGCAAUUCAACCACUAACUGAUAUUUCAUGGAUCCAUGAGUAGUGGAGUACCUUUUGGUCAACAUAUCCCAUGCAGAUUUUGCAUCGUCAAAGCUGCCCAAUAGAUUGGAAAUAGAGGGAAUGGAAGUGUUCCGGAUCCAUGUGAGGAUCAUGUGGUUAUGACUAUCCCAUUCAAUCAUGCGACUAAGAAAGACAACAUCUUCUUCACUUGCUCCCUUGACAGGAAUAGUCAUUGCACCAGUACAAUAAUGUCAGGGCAUGCGACUCUUAAGAAAACUGCGCAUAGCUUGAGACCAAGAUAAGUAAUUUUUAUUCCCCUCCAAUACAGUAUUGAUGGGGCGAGGAAGAAAAACAUCUUUUUUAUCCAUUUAGAGACACAAUAUGCAAAAACAGACUGCAAAAAUGAAAUCUACACGAAAAACUGGGUAAGGAGAACCUGGACAGAAAAUGUCAAUUGGGGAAAGUCAAUGGUCAAAGUCAACGGUCAACAGUUGGUCAACAGUCAACGGUCAACGGAUGAAGCCACAGGAUGACGUGGAGAUGACGUCAGCAGAUCAGUGGAUGCUGACGCAGCUAGGGCUAACGUGGCAGAGAUGAUGACGUCAGCAAACCAGGCCCCGACGCGUGGCAGCGCAUGGAGGCACGUGAUCAGCGUCGCAGAAUCUUUGAGCGGCGCGUGCGGUCUCCGAUGGCGGCGAGGGUUCCACGAAUGUGUAGAUCGACACUGGACGAUCUCAAUGGUACUUUCAAAAAUGAAAUCCGAGCAAUAUUCGCAGCGGUGAUGCAAAGAGCAGUGGUCUGUGCAGUGUGAAACUCCUUAACGAUGGCGGCUGCAGGUCCGGAACCCAAGGACGACGGCUGGAUGACAUCGGAGGUUCAACGGCAAGAGGCUGCGGCGACAGUUGUGAUGGCGGAAGCGUUUAGUGAAAGAAAGGAAGUCACACUAAUGAAGACAAGAUUGCCAAGAAAAGGUCAGAGCAGUGGCUCUGAUACCAUGUUAGAAAUAUGGAAUAAUUGUAUUCUAUUUCUUAAUUAAAGAAUAUACAUCAGUGCCUUUAUAUAGGAGGCAUAUGUGUGCGGUACAAGUAAUAUGUGUGCGGUACAAGUAAAGUGUACUAUACAAGUAACCUAACUGGGCCUAAAGCCCAUAACAUAAUAUACUUUAACAGAUAUAAAAUGUUUGAUAAUUUUAUGAUUAGUAAUGGUUAUCAUAGGAGUGAGUAUGACAAUUAUGUUUAUCACAAGGAGUUGUUUUAUGGUUCUUUCAUUUAUUUAUUGUUAUACAUUGAUGACAUAUUAAUUGCCUAUAAGAAUAUGUUUCAAAUCUAACAUAUUGCAAACUCAACUUCAAGGAGAGUUUGAAAUGAAAGACCUUGGAGUUGCAAAAAAUAUAUUGGGUAUGGAGAUCCAUAAAGAUUGAGAAGUAGGAAAUUUGUGCUUAUAAUAUAAAAAGUACAUUAAGAAAUGAAACGCUUUGGAAUACAAGGGUAAAAACCAGUGAGUACUCUACUAGUAGCUCACUUCAAACUUUCAAGUGCUUUAUCACCAUAGACCAAAGAAAAAAAAGAGCACAUGAGACAUGUUCCUUAUACUAAUGUAGUUAGGAGCAUUAUGUAUGUCAUAGUUUGCACUAGAUAAGAUAUUUCACAUGCAGUUAGUGUGGUAAGUAUAUGAAUUGCCCUAGAAAAAUCCAUUUGUAAGUAGUGAAAUGAAUGUUUGAGAGGAACAUUACAUGUUGGCUUAGUAUAUGAUAAAAGUAGUAACAUCUCUAGGGAAAUUGUUGGUUAUGUUGAUUAAUCUGAUUAUUCUAGAGAUUUGGACAAAAGAAAUUCUCUAACAGGAUAUGUAUUCACUUUAUAUGAUAGUAUUAUUAGUUGGAAAACAACUUUGUAAUAUAUAGUUGUUUUGUCAACCAUUGAAGCAUAAUACAUGGCGACCAUAGAAACAGUAAAAGAAACUAUUUAGUUUAAGGGUUUGGCUAUCUAGGCUUACAACAAGAGUUGAUUAUUGUGUAUUGUGAUAAUAAAAAUGUCAUAAAUUCGACUAAAAGUCAGAUAUUCCAUGAGAGGACCAAACAUAUUAAUGUCAGAAUGUAUUUUAUUAGGGAUGUGAUUGCACAAAGUGCUAUUAGCAUUAUUUCGACUUAAUUGGUGUUAAUAGUAUCUAAAAGCUCAUUCAGGAUGUGGGAACAAAUUAACAUGGAAGACUUUUGAGUUUGUUUGAAUCUUAGGAAGCAAAGGUUGAGAUUGUUGGGUUUUCUAUUAUUAUAAAGAAAAUACCCUAUUGUGAAAUCUUCUUUUAGAAAUAGACAUCUUUAACAAUUAUACUCUUACUUUGCUAUAUGAAAUCUUCUUUAGUAAAUAGAAAAAAAAUAUAUAGGAAGAGAUUUUGAUCAAAAUAGUAAUGGUUUCUUUUUAAGUCUAAUUGGGACUUUGGGAUUUGAGAGUUCAAGGAUUGUAAUCUCCUUCAACAAUAGUGAAAGCUCUUCUUUGUCUUCGCUUGUGGAUGUAGGCUUGAAGUCGAAACCAUGUAAAUUGUUAUAUGUUUUGUGUGUCUUUUUUUCGUUCUCUUAUUCUUUUUCCUCUAUUAUUAUUCUUUGUUGUGUUUUUUUACAAAAAAAAAAUGGUAUCAAAACUUUGAGUUAAAGAUCUUUGAAAGAGCCAGUAAGAAUAGAGCACAUAAGAUGAUGAUAAAAGAAAUUUUAGUUGAACGUGGAGUCGAUUGUUCUAUCAUGGGGAUAUGAUAGAAAAAGCUUGUGUUAUGGAGAAAUGGAAGGUUGACUUGAUAGAAAUUGAUCCAAGGUAGAAAUUGUUAAAAAGUAUCUCAAAUUCCUAUAGACUAAUUUUUGUAAAGAAUAUUGUAUAAAAUAUUUCUUAGUUGAUUUGUUAUUACAAUAUUAAAUUUCCUUAUUAACAUUGUUUGUAUUAAAGAUUCCAUUGACCCAACAUAUGUUGCCCGAAUGGGAAACACUAAGUUUUUUGGUACCAAAAUUGAGAAUUGUUUUCUAUAUUUUUUAUGGUUCAAAUUUAUAUCAAAAUAUUAAUUUCUUUAUUUUUCUUAAAAUAAAAAAAAAAAGUGAAAAAGCGUAAAAACAAAUAUCACAUUGUUUAUCCGUGAAAGUAAAAAAUGUUUGUGAAAAAAUCGUUUUACUUCAACAAACAAGUCCGUAUUUUAGAUAUUUAAAAAAAUGUUAGUAGUAAACAACCUUCAUUUUUAAUCAUUACAGCCUUAAGGAGAAAUGGUUUUAUUAAUUUAUAACAUGUCAUUGAUUUAUUGAAAGUUGACUCAAAUUUGGAAAUGAGAAUAAAAUAGGCCUCCCACAAAUAACAAGUUGCCACCAAUUUGAUAAUCUUGGUCAUUAAAUAAGUGUAUGGUAAAGUCUAGACAGUUGAAUUAUGAUAAUAAAUAUAUGAAAUUAAGGUGGAAUUAAAUAAGAUUAAUAUUACCAAAAAAAAAAUGAGAUCCAUGUAUAAAUUGUACAUAUAAUACGUAAUGAUUGCCCCAUUUUUUUUUUGUAGCUCUUCGAUAGGUGUUGAUCUAGCCGCAUGUAGCAGAAGCAAGUGAAAGAGGGUAUUGAAAAGUGUUGGCAUACUUGAAGGAGAUGGUAGAACCCGCGGCUAAAGGACUUCCACCAUUGACAAGGCAAUCAUCAACAACCUGGCGCUUGAAUAUUUUAGGGUUCACCAGAACUGCCGAAGCAAACAUACCGCAUUUCAAACGGAGAUUGGAGAUGGAGCAGGCUCUGGCGCAUGCAUUCGUGAUCUCCACACUGAAAGACGGUAUCCCACUUGGUAGAGUGCCGACUCUUGACUGUGCAAUCACGAUAUCGCCAUUUGAACAGUUUGUCUCUGCUGCUACCACUGGAAUUAUAUGACAUCACAAACAGAAGGCAAAACAAAAGGAGAGAUCUUCAACUUUAAAUUAUAUUUAAAAGAGAUGAUAAGUUAGAAGAUAUCAAACAAACCAGUAUAAAAUGGAAUCAUCAGAUUAGUGCUGAUGAUGAUGAUGGACAACAUAACUAUAGAGACAUGGCAAAUUGAGAAGACUUUCAUAUUGGGUGUUUGAUCUUUCUUUCUUUCUUUGCAAUUAUUUUAACAUAUACUAUCACAUAUAUAUACCUUCUUAAUAUUCAUAUCCAUAAAUAAAUCAAGCUAAUUAAUAUCCUAGAAUGGCAUUUAUGUUAAACUUUCUAUUCUCAUUUGAUGAAAUCGUUCCCUUCCUCAAUGGCUAAUAUAUUCCAUUCUAUUAAAUAUCUAAAAAUUUUAAUACACAUAUAUAAGAUAUUUUAUAUAUAUAAUAUAUGGUAUCAAAUAUCUUACAUAUAGAAGUAUGAUAGAAUAAAAUAUCUUAUAUAUGUGAUAUUUUAUUCUAUCUUUCUUCUAUAUAUAAGAUACUUGAUACCAUAUGUUAUAUAUAGAAGAAAGAUGGAAUAAAUUUAUAGUUAAUUUACAAUUUACAAUUAUAUAUAAGAUACUUAAUUUAUAGUUAAUUAAAUCAACUUACAAUUUUCUCUUCAUCUUUUAUGCAUUUUCAUAUAUAAAUUAAGCUAAUUAGUAUCAUAGGAUAGCAUUUCUAUUUAUGUUAAGAUUUCCUAUUCUUAUUUGAUCCUCUCCUACAUGCAAGGCUGCAAUUUGGGCGGGUUGGAUUAUGGUUGAUGGCCAACUUAAACCUAAUCCAACCCAAACUUUAACCUAAAUUAAUUACUCAACCCAAUCACAUUUUUUGAAGGUUGGGUUGAUUAAGUUACUCAAGUUAUAUGAUUCACAAUCCAUCUAUAAUUAUUUUAAAAAAAUUAUAUAUUUGUACCAUAAUUUAAAAAGUAAAUAGAACAAUUACAAUUUUAAGAUAAAUACAAAAGUGAAAAUAAAUUUAUAUGUCUUUCUAAAAAAAUGGAAAAGUAUAUGAUAGAAUUAUAAUUUGAUACUCUUCCUAAAAUCUAAAAAGAAAAUAAAUAGAAUAAAUGUUAUUAUAUAAAAUAAUAUAAAUUAUAAAUAUUAUAAAAAUAUUAAAUCAAAUUUAGGUUAAACUCGGAUUGUUCAAACCUUAACUUGAACUCAAUCCAAGUUGAGUUCCGAUUGAAAAAACUCAAUCUCAACCUAACUUUAGUGUUAAAAUUAUUGCCCAAGGUUGUCCAAAGGCUAAGUUGGGUUGUGUUUGACUUGGGUUCAAUCCAUUCAAGUUGGAUUUCUAUAUGCAUGGCCAAUAUAUUCCAUUCUAUUAAAUAUAUCAAAACUUAUAAUUAAGUUAAUAUCACUUUUAAAUAACAUAUAUAAGAUGUUUUAGUCAAUCUUUCUUCUAUAUAUAACAUAUUUGAUGCCAUAUAUUGUAUAGAAGACUUUACACUUUUCACCCUUUUAUGCUAUCAUUUUCUAUAUGUUCAGUUUCCAUAUAUUGAGAACCUCUUCAUUUUUUUUUUCGUAUUCUUAAGAUGAGACAUUAAUCUUUAAUUUGGGAUCUUUAUAGAGUAGUUUAAUUAGAUCUAAAAAAUUUUAGCAUGUGGUUGUGUCUGAUGUAAGGGGUCAGCUAGUGAAAUUAGGAAGUUGAAAUUGAGUCCAAAUCUUAAUUAUUAUGUAUUGAGUAGGAAAUUAGCUUAUAUAGAUCAAUAACAUGGUGUUAUUGACAUGAAUUACUAAGAGAAAAUUAGGAUUUUUUAUAUUCUUUGCUUAUUAUUAUUAUUAUUAUUAUUAUUAUUAUUAAUGAGUUAGAUUAGCUAGCUUAAGUAAGUAGUUUUGUUUUAAACAUUACUAAAUCUACUCUCCGUAUUUUUUUGGGAUUUACACUAACUUAGAAAAUUCUAGAUCAUCAUCAAUUCAUAUUAAGGGUCUUUUAAGGAAGUAUGGUACUUGAGUUUAUUUGUGUGACCAAUUUUAAUUAUGUAUUUUAGAUUCAUUAAAAUAUGAAACAACCAACAAGUUGAAAACACUAGAAAGGAGUACUCAAGUGCCGGAAAGGUGCAUUCAAGUGCUUGAGACUUUUUUCUUUUCAUAUUUUCAUUAUUUUUUAUUUGGUUCAUAUUUUAAAUUUGAUUUUUCUCGUAUCAUUGGCCCAACUUGCUAUGGUUUUAAGACUAUAAACCUACUUACAUGCCCUAGAACAAUAUUAUUAUUAUUCCUUGCAUGUUCCUAACAUUCUCAAGAACCUCAUUCUUGAUCGAGACUUGUUUAUGGAGGUUAACAACAUCCUCUUAUGGCAUUAAAAGGUUUAAUAAGGAGUAUGAGCUUGGUGCUACACACAUGAAGACCAGUGUAGAUGUUGACCAAUAUAACACUCUUGGGAGAAGGUGCUAUCUGGUUUACAUAUAUAUAUAUAUAUAUAUACUUAAAUUCAUAUUUAAUGAAUUCUCUUUGUGCAUAGUUGAUUGGACCAUGGUGUUUUUUUUUUUUUUUUUAAUUGCAAAGUUUCUCAUAGACUCUAGGUGGUUUUCCAUGUACAUCAUGUGUUUAUCAUAUGAUUGGAUUUAUUCUAAAAUCUUGAUAUGUCAUUGAAUAAAGAAAUUUUUAAUCGUAAAAUGAACUCAAAUUUUGGGUAUAAAAUCAAGACUACCUAUUCCCUUCCCCAUGUAGUUUUAGGAAUUAAGAUUUGAACUUUUAGUUAGUGUAAGAGUAAGUUAGAUUUUAAAAUUUUAAAUUUUUAUUCUUAUUUAAUCUUGAUUCAUGAAACUACAGUGAGUGGGAUCAUCCAUAUACAAUUCACCAUACUUUCAUAGAAAUAUUAUCCUAAUUAUGGAAUUAUUUUUGAAAAUAUAAGGUGAACAAAUUUAGAAUAUUAUUAAAUUUGGUUGGAGGCCUCUAAGGAAUUGAAACUCAAAUAUAAAUAAGAUAAAUUCGACAAUGAAAACAAUGAUACAAAUGUCAAGGCUCUUUGUACCAUCUUUAAUUGGGAGAGUCCUAAUGGGUUUCACAAGAUAGCAACAUAUAAACAUGUUACAAAGGCUUAGGAUCUUUUGCGUCACUCAUGAGGACACUUUUGCUGUGAAGUUUUCCAAAAUACAAAUAACUUUGGGAAUAUAAAAAAUAAGAAUAUGAAAUAUUUUUUUUUUUCUAUGAUGAGUUGAUUGAUAUUGUUGACUACUCUAGUUUCAAUGAUCUAGGGGGAAAAAAAGCUUGUAUCUAAGGUAGUUACAAUUUUUUUUUUACUCUAAAAUAUUUAAAGGACAUUGACAUUAUGAGAGUUAAUAAACUUGUAGGUUCCUCGACUUUUGAGAAUUCUAUACCUACUUCUAAGAAGUCUAAGGGUGUAGCCUUUAAAGUUAAUUUCUAUGAAUGAAGGUAACAAGUUUGAAGAACCUAACGAUAAAUGUUUAAUUUUUACUCAACUUUCUCUACUUGCUAAAAAGUUAAAGAAAACAACUCAAGCUCAUAAAAAAUAAAGACUCAGCAAAGAGAAAAAGGUUUAAAACUAAAGAAAAAGAAGAAAAAAAAGUGCAUUGUUUAUUUAUAAACAAAAAAAUCAAUGUUUUAAAAAUCGGAUCGGAUCGGUCGGUUCGAUUGGUCAAACCGUCGAUCGGUGACUUUUCCGAUUUGAUUCCUCCCUUUGGGCUGACUAUCAAUUGGACCGGUGGUGAACUGCUUAAGGCGAUGGUUGGACCAUGGGUAGGGCAAAGGGCUGAAGAAUCGACACAUUAAUUGCUUACCCUUCUUGCAAAAUGGGCUUCCUACUUAAGUACCAUGCUAUAAGGCCCACCAACCACUUGGCUUAAGCACUUGCUUCAAUUAGUUGAGAAGAGUUACUUUAUUUUUCCUCUCAUUUCCGAUAUGGGAUAAGGUAAAGGGAUUUAAAAGCAAAAAUCAACUUUGUUCUUGCCAACAAAGGGUUUGAACCAUGAACCACAAGCUCAUAAUGGUCAUAACCACUCCACCAUGUUGCAUCUUUGUUUGUAUUAAUUUUUAACAGAAAAUUACUACAUAGGCUAUUUCAAAAAAUAAUAUAUAUAUAUAUAUAUAUAUAUAUAUAUAUAUAUAUAUAUAUAUAUUACAUAUUUUUUUUUAUUUUCAAUUUUUUCACAUUUAAAUACGACUUUUUUUUUUACCAUUUUGAAUAUAUUUUCAUAUUUAAAUAUUAUAUAUAUUUUGUUUAAUAAAUUUAAACCAUUAAUACAUUUAUAUAAAAAUGAAUGAAUAAUAUUAUAAAUAUUAUUUAAUUUUUAAUUAUAUAUUUUAAAUAUUUUAUAAUUAUUUUUAAUUUUAAUAAAAUAUAAAAUAUAUAUUUAUGACAUCACCGGUUCGACCACGGUUCAACCAUCGAUCCGACCAGUGAACAGUGAACUGUUAACUUUUUCGGUUCAAUAUCCGGUACGGUUCUGAAAACAUUGAAAAAAAUAGAAUGUUCCAAUUGUAGGAGAGUAUGAUACAUGAUUUGUGAUCAUAUUCUCAAAAAUAUCAAGAAAGUUAUGCAAGCAAUUUGGAGUGAUAUUGAAUCUAGUGAUAAUGAGUUUGAGGACUCCUAUGAGAAUAAAGACAAUAAUAAUCUUGUUGUUUUUGUUGCUUGUUACAUUUAUAGUUCACUUUGAUUAUGAUUCUCUUAACAAAUUAAAUCAAAUUAUAAGGGUGAAUUUGAUUUCCAUAAUAUAGAUAUUACCUAGCUAUGAUGUAUUAUAUGAGGAAAGCUUAAAGAUGGAAGUCAAAAUGAGCACGUUUGAAAGUUUUAAUCAAACAUCCUUAAAAAUUGUCUUCAACAUUCAACAUAUAGCAUUUAAUAUUUGAACAUGUUUAAUAUAAAAUUAAAUCAUUUACAUUAAAAAUCUAAUUAAGAGUGAUUUUGAAAGACUUAAAAAUUAGGUUUGACAAAAAUUUUAAAAUCACAUAUAAAAAUUCCAAAAAUGGCUUGAAAUAAUUCUUGAAAAAUCACUUGCCGGCUGAUUUUGCUAAAAAGCAUUGUGAUUUUGAAAGAAUUAGAAAUUAGGUUUGACAAAAAUUUUAAAAUUUCAAAAAUGACUCGAAAUGAUUCUUGAAAAAUCACUUGAAAGCUGAUUUUGGGAAAAAUCAAUUUUUGAAAAACGCUACAAACUAAAACGUUUUAGUUGAAAUCACUCCCGACGUCGGCUGAAUGUCAUUUUCGAAUGAAGUAAUGGCACAAAUUAGUCCUCAAAGCGACAGGCUGCCUGUCGUGAAUCUCCUCAUCGCAUCAUUGUUUAACGAUUACCCACUACAACAAGUUGCAAGGGCAUGCGAAGGUCCUGCCCCAUAUAAUUGACCUUCAAUGCUUCAAAUUUUCAAAUUAGACUGACCGAGCAUGCUCACAUUCACAUAAACUGGCCUCUUCGUGUCUUUGUAGGAAUUUAAAUUCAUCAAUCACAAGUGGGCUAUAUAUAUAUGAUCUUCAUAUAAGUCCAUGAACUGAUUUUUAAGCUCUAAGAUCCACACAUUCUCCCUCACUUUUCUUCCUCAUUAAUCCUUCUACACCGCUAUUCCUCCACAGUAUAUUUAUGGAUGAAACUAAGAGCAGACAGAAAAAAGGUCUGAUGAAGAAGACAUGGGAGCAAUUCAAAUCUUUUGGUCAUGGGAGGAUUUUAUCAAGAACCCAUCAUUCUUCUAUGAAAAGCAAGUCAAGGCCUGGCCACACAGCCUCUCUUGAAGGCGUGAAGAAGGGGCGGGUUGCUCCAGAGGGCUGCUUCUCAGUGUACGUUGGACAUGGGAAACAAAGGUUUGUGGUCAAAACUGAGUAUGCCAACCAUCCUCUAUUCAGAGCACUCCUAGAAGAGGCUGAGCUAGAAUAUGGGUACAACAAUGGAGGGCCUCUUGUGCUUCCAUGUAAAGUGGAAAUUUUUCUUAAGGUGUUACUGGAAAUGGACAGUUCUGAUGAGGUUCAUCAAGGGUGCAGCUUUGCUAGGAGCCCUAGCUCCUAUCGCCUCCUCGGCCCAUCUCGGAUGAUCACCAUGAAUCAUCUAUGAAUUUACCAGAUUCAGAGUUUGUUUUUAUUUAUUCUACUAAUUUAUAUGAGAACAAAGAUCUCUUCAACAAAGGUUUUUAAUAGGUUUCUCCAUUAAUUUUUUACUUUUUAUCAUUAUUGAAAAUGAAAAAAAUAAAUAACAAAUAAAAACCCGAGUUCAAGGGAAAAGGAUUAAUGUAAUUUAACGUAGAUGAUUAGAUAGUCAAAACUAUUAAAAGAGUAUAAACUCUUCAGAUUAGUUUGCGUCUAUGAAUGAAUUUUAGGAUACAAGAAUCAUCUGUAUACUUUGAAAAGAGAUUGUCUUUCCCACAGACAGAUUCAAAAGUAGUUUGAAAUUAGAACUUUCUUUUAUAUAUAAAAAAUAAUAAUCAUGAAUAUCAUUUUCAUUCCCAAGUAUAUCAAGAUGCCAUAACACAAUGCCGUGUUUUAUCAUUUUCGAUCUAAUGACUUUAAAAUUACCCUUCCAACAAGUUAGAUAUAAUUAUAUAUGAUGGACCCAACCCCUAUAAGUAGAUCUUUAUGUUUUCCACCUUGCAAAUAGAUUGAGUACUUUUUGUUAGGAACAAGUGGGCAUUAUGUUGCUUAAUAUUAUCCAUUUUUGUGAUCCAAACGGAAACUAAUUAAUUGAAGGAUAGGUCCUUGUUUUUCUAAAGUUCUAUUGAUAUGUAAGUGAAUGCUUCUUUGGCAAUUAGAAUUGUUUGGAUAUGAAAAAAUUAUCAAAAUUUAAUUAAUUCAAGGACAAGUUAUGCUCUAUAAUACCUAAAAAAAUUUAACUUUUCCAAUUUAAUAGAAUUCAAAUUUCAAUGUCAUAUUAAUGUGGAAUAACCAAGGGGAUGAAAUCAUCCUCACUUUGGAAAACUAAUCCAUCAUCUUUAUUCAACCUAAAAAAAUGUCCAUUUUAAACAAAAAUACCCUCAUUUUUUUCUUGUAAAAGUAACCAUUUCUUUCAAAACACAUAUAUAAAUAAUAAAAAUAUUAAAAGAUAUUUAUGUAAAAAAAACUAGGUUACUCUUCAAGUUCAAAAGUGGGAAAUGUUAGUUUUUAUCCCUUUUAAUCAAUUAAUCCCAUUAAUUAAUAUUGACAAAUGUUAGUCCUUCUUCAUGGAUAUAUAUAUAAUAUUAUUGGAAAUAAUUUUUUUUUUCUUUUGAAUUAAGUGGUUAGAUUUAUUUAAAUAAAAAACAAACCAAGUUUAAACAAAAAGGACUAAUAUAAAUUAACGUAGAUGAUUAGAUAGUCAAAUUCUUAGGAAACCAUGAACUCUUUGAAUUUGCUCUUAUGAAUGGACUUUAGGAUUCAAGUACCAUCCAUUUACUUUAAAAGGAGAUUAGCUUUUUGAAAGCAAAUCAUGAAUAUCGUUUUCAUUUCCAAGUAUAUCAAGUUGCAAUAUAUAAAAUUUCAAAGUCUUAUCAUACCUCAACAAAACGUCAUGUUCUGUCAAUUUUUGGUCUAAUGCUUUUGGAAUUACUCUUUCAUUGGUAUCUUAACAAGUUGCAUAUGCUUGGGUUGGACCUUUGUGAACAUGACCUUGCAAAUGGAUUGAAUUUUUGUUAGAAACAAGUCUCUCACUCUCCAAAGCGGUCCCCUCUCCAUUGCAUAACUUAUUAGCAAAAUCCUUCAAAUUUUGUACUAUAUACAUACACACUCAUUUAUUGGGUUCUUUUAAAAUAGGUAUAUCAUAUUUUAAAAGUAUAUGGUUAAUUUGUUGUGUUGAAUAAAAUACAAAGAAAAUAAGUGUAGACCCCCAUUUGGGGCUCGUUUUUCAGCAACUCAAUUUUGCCAAGUGCCACUAUCCCGGGUGGCCACAUGUCGCCUCCUGGUUGGUUGCUGUGGAAUCAGCUUAGUGGAGUUGAUGGACGAAUGAGAAAGCGACACCUGUUGGAGAAUAUUCAUAAGAGCUUUUGGGCUGUUAGAGUGGAGUUUGGAUGAUUUUUUUUGAAGCGUGAGGGGGACCCCCCUCUCUUACCAUGAAUCCCGGCCAGAUGGGACAAGCAACCAGGAAGUUGAGGGCUUGAUUGCCGGCGGCAACAGACGUGCAGCAGCAAAGGGAGUGGUUGGUCAAACCAUGCUUGCUAACCAGUGAACAGGGGUAAGAAGGGAAAGAGUAAGGGGGGACACAAGAAAAAAGGAAAGCAAGAAGAGGAAGAACAGAAAGAGGGGACAGCAUUGUAGAGAGAGAAAAGGAGUAUGGGUGGAACUUGAAGAGAAAGCUAAGAACAAAGGAACGUAGAGUUGCUGAGAGGAGUCCAGGACAUAGAGCUGAGAAGAGAGAUUUCCAGGUAUGACCAUUUGUUUUUUUUUGUAUAUUUUCUUUUUUUUUUUUUCAGAUUGUCUAGAUUUAAUUCUCAGUGAUUUUUCAUUUCUACUUGUUGGGUUGUUCUGUUUUGGUGAUUACUGAUUAAAUAUUGGAAGAGUUUGCUAUGUUUUAUGCCCUCUUCUGACGAGUAUUUUUCCAUCUUAACUCACUGGAUGUUGGACCCAUGGACGAAAUGAUGAAAUGGGUCCGAUACGCCGGUUAAAGUCUUCAUGUUCUUCUUCUUGUUGCUAUCCUAUUAUCUCCUUGUUUUCUUUUCUUCCCUGAGUGCAUACUCAAGGCUCCCAAGUCUCAGUUGCUUUCCGUGAAGCUUCAAGCCAUGGCCUCAUUGUGGCUAGAAUCUGGGUUUUCAGUGAUGAUGAGAAUGGGUUUUUUCGGUUUUCUCCAAGCUUUCACAGUCAGCAAAUACCCAAGGUUGCAUACUACCAGGCAUAUUCGUCAGCUAGACGUGGAAGCGCAUCUGCUGGUGGCCUGCCCAUUGUGUUUAUGUCCAGGCACAUGUCUUCACUCUGCAUGACCCCUGUCUCUAUUCUCAUGCAGGUGUGUCGUCAUCUCAUCCCCAUGUUUUUUUUCCUUAUCCACCAUACCCAUCGUUUAUCUAUCCACUUCUCUCUCUCUCUAGGUCGUCAUACCCAUUUCCUCACUCAAGCUUGCAGGAAUCAAGCAUCCUCCACCACACCCAUUUUCCUCUCAUUCAUUAUCUGAAUGUAUCACAUCCAGAAUCCUGUCCGACUGACAUUCCACCUUAUCCGGAUGCCUCACAUCCGGAAUCCUGUCCGCUGACAUUCUAUCUUCUUCGGAUGCCUCACAUCCGGAAUCCUGUUCGGCCGACAUUCCACCUCCUCUGGAUGCCUCACAUCCGGAAUCCUGUCCGGUCAACAUUCCACCUCCUCCGGAUGUCUCACAUCUGGAAUCCUGUCCGCCGACAAUCCAUCUUAUCCGAAUGCCUCACAUCCGGAAUUCUGUCCUGCGCCAUCCCACCUUCUCCGGAUGUCUCUCAUCCGGAAUCUGUCUGCCGACAUUCCGCCUUAUUCGGAUACCUCACAUCCGGGAUCUAUUCGGCGCCAUCCCACCUUCUUCGGAUGUCUCUCAUCCGGAAUCUGUCCGCCGCCAUUCCCACCUUCUCCGGAUGUCUCUCAUCAGGAAUUUGUCCGCCUACAUUCCGCCUUAUCCGGAUCUCUCACAUCCGGGAUCUGUCCGACACCAUCCCAUCUUCUCCGGAUGUCUCUCAUCCGGAAUUUGUCCGCCGACAUCCCGCCUUCUCCGGAUGUCUCACAUCUGGAAUUCUGUCCGGCCGACGUUCCACCUUCUCUAGAUAUCUCGCAUCCGACGCCUGAUGCCGGAUGGGAGAGGAAGGCGAUUCAACUUCCCCCGUCAAACAUGUCUGGAUCCUUGUUUUAUAACUUCUUUUUUUAAACCAUUUCAAAGCAUCCUAUCUUUCAUCCUUAGAGUUUUUAAGAUUACCCAAGAGUCCCAUUUGCAAUAAAAUUUUGCUGCCAUCUUUCUUUCCGGCAAGCAAUUUUCACAACUCUUCUGUUUUUUUUUUAAAUGUUUUAAAAUAAGCAUAGAUUCAAUCAUGUAAUUCCGAAUAAUGGAGUUUAUGGAAUUAAUUCAUGCAAAAAUAAACGGGCUUUGGUGGGGGUCCCACAUAAGUGACUUUAUAAUUGAUUGAUUGAUUGAUUAAUUUAAUUGUCAUGCAUGAUUGAUCUUAUUCUUCUAUAUGACAUACUUGAAAUUAUUCCUUAAUUGUACACUAACCUCUCUCUUGAUAGUGCAUGGUGGCUCGUUGCCCAGGUACGCACCUACUUUCACUUUGGUAAUUGUCUAAGCAUAUUUUGAUUUUCACGUGUGCAUGAUUUAUUCUGGGUACUCAUUGAUUUACUCGUCCAUUGUCAUGAUCGCUUCAUUUUAUUAGUAAAGACCCGACUUUAGGGACUUAGAGGGGUGCUACGGUUUUUACCGUACCUUCCCGAUAAGUAACCUGACCCCCGAACCCGAUCCAGUUUUUCGUAGACCACCUUUUCCAAAAUAAGAAGUCACACUUAGGGUUUUUCUUUCUUAUUUUGUUUACCCUUUUAAAAAUAAAACAAAAAUAAGUGGCGACUCUAAGUCAUUUUUCUUAAUCAAUAAAAAUCAAUUUUCCAAAAUCAAAAGCGAGUUUCGCCAUCGAGUGGGAAAUGCAUUGAGCCGAAAUGCGGGGUCCACAAUAAGGUUAUUUGUUUUCGAGAAUAGUUUUUUGUUCUCCAAAAUAAAAAAAUAAAAAAACAUGUUUGAUAAUCAGAAAAUAUUUUUUUGUCUUCUAUUCUUAAGAACAAAAAAUAAGGUGUUUUUAAAUAAUAUCUUUCACUCAUUUUCACUUGUUUUUUAAGAAUUGUUUUAAAAAAUAAUUAUACAAAUAUAUAGAAUGAUUAAAUAUAAAAUACUAAAUAUAAAAUUAUUUUUAAAACAUAUUUAAAAACAUUAUAAAUAUGUUAAAAUAUUUCAAAUUCAUAAAUAGACUUUUAUUCUAUAAAACAUUAUAAAAUAAUUUUCAAAAAUUAUUCUCAAAAACUAUGUUUCAAAACUAUUUUCGAAAAUAGUUACCAAAUAAGAACUAAGAUUCAUAUAUAAAGAAAUUGGACAAACAUAUAAAGAUAUCAAAUGUAAGUGCAAUAAAUUAAGAAAAAAAAAAAGGAAGAAGAAGAAGAAGAAGAACUCGUAUAUAGCAAAAAGUAAAGGAAACCUUUUUUCACAAUGUGAUAUUCAUUAGUAAUUGGUCAACAUUUUUCUUUAUGGCAUCAAAAUGCUAUUUUUUUGGUACCAUAUCAUGACAUUUGAAUUAGAGAGCUACCAGCUAGUUUAUGUUUCAUGACUCGUGUGAGUGUAUAAUUAAUUUUAAAAGCUUGUACAUGCAAAAGUGUUCAAUAUAACCAAUGUACUAACUUAAUUUAAGUUAUCAAAUAUGUACAAUAAAAUAAUUUAAUAGAAUUAUUAAAAAUAAAAAAUAAAAAAUAAAUUACUCUUUCUAAAUCAUUAAAAAUAAAAAAUGGUGCCCACAAUACUUUAACCUCUUGACUUGUCAUCAACCCUCUAUCACAAUAGUCAACUAUUUUAAAUUAUUAAUUCUUUAUUGGAGGUCUAAUUAAUUAUUAAACUAUUAAUUCGAUAUGUUUGUCCCUAAAAAAUAUUAAGAAAAGAAAAAAAGCAUUAAGAAAAUUGGUUAUUUCAUAUUUGGUUUCAUUAUUAAAAAUAUAAAAGAAAAUCAAAUAUAAUUAAAAUUUAUUAAAAUUUUAUAUAUUUUUUAAUUAUUUAAUCUUUAUAUAAUAGAAGAAAAUAAAUAAAAUGAGUUUGAAGAAACAUAUAAAAAUAAUUUAUUAAUUUUAAAUUUAUUUUUUAUUUUUCUUCUAUUUUUCCACUUUAUUUUCUUUUCUUCACAUUUUUCAUAACCAAACAUAGUCUAAGAGAAUUUUUAUUUUUUUUCCUUAUUCACACAACCUUUUGUGUUUUUUUGAAGACUGAAAUUGCUCAAAAUCGACUAGUAAGGAAGAAAUCUCAAAAAGACAUUAAUUGUAAAUCCUUACUUAAUUUCCAAAUCUAAGAAAUGUAUUAAGGAAUAGUAUUCUUAAAUUUCCAACAGGGUUUUUAAUUAAGAUAUUAGAGAAUUAUUAUUAUUAUUAUUAAAUUACAUUAUAUAAUAAUAUACUUACAAGAUCAAUAUUAUCUUAUCUUAAGAACAAAAAGAGAGAGCAACUAAUUACAAAGAUGAGAGCCCUCGGAGUUCUCUCUUAUCACUCCUAGUAUUGUGCUAGUGGCUAAUUUUGAACCUUUGGUCUUUCGUGGGGAGCCACCACGGGCCUAGUGGCAUACUCUCCUCUAAAAUUUUAAAGAACGCCAAUUUGACACAACAAAAAGAUAUUUAAAAAAUAUUUUUAUUUUUAUUUUAAAAUUUAUUUAAUAUUUAUAAAAUUAAUUUUUUUUAAAUGCUAAUUUUUCACUAUAAAACAAAUGUUAACAAAAUAAUUUUUAUUUGAUUUUUUAUUAAAUAUUUUCUUAGCUGUGGGUAGUGUUUAUAUUUUUAGGUUUAAUCCAAUAGUCAUGAAUUUAUAAAUGAUUAUAUAAUUAUUUGAAUUAUAUGCUAUUUAAUAAUUAAAUUUAUUUCAUUUGACUUUGAGAUUUGAGGUUUAAUUGUGUAGUACUUUGAAGGCAAAUUUUAUGAUUUUAAAAAUAAAUUUCUCAAAUGCUUUGAAGGUAAAAAGGAAUGAUUAAGAGCAUUCCAUAGAUGUGAUUUUUUAUUUUUUAUUUUCAUUCUUUUUAAUCAUGUGAUAAUUUAUAUUUCAACUGGAAACUGACUGAAUGUCUGAGUUCACCGCCAGCAAGGGAAUUGAGGGGAGGGAGAGCCAAAUGCUCAGACAAGGAUGGAGUGAUGCCCUUCCGGCGUACCGGUUUACAGAGCCCAUGUAGAAAACGUAAACCCCUUUGGAUUUCCCAUUUCUGAUAUCCAUCUCAGGUGUGGCUGGUUCAGCUCUUCUGUCCUCAUAAACCCGAAAAUAUUCAAGCGUCUAUGCUACAACUACUGCCUUGUCAGGAAUGGGAGGCCCCUGGCUAGCGGUUCCAUGGUCGAAUUUGAGUUUGCCAACAGCUUCAGCUACCCCCUCUCUUUCUCUUCAAUAAGGUUAAUUUUACGAUUUUACUUGAAUUUUAGAAUACAUCGGAUAAUGAAUAUUUUAAAUAUCAAUAAAAUAAAAAUUAUUUUAAAUUUAUAAAUAAAAAUACAUAUAUUAAAAUUAUUUUAUAUAUGUAAUUGAUGUAAAUAUAAUUAAGAAGAAAAAUAUCAAUAAACAAAGAAAUAUCAAUCUUAAUAUAUAAUUUAUUAUUUAUUUAAUUAAAUUAAUUUUAAUUUAUAAAAUAUUAACUUCAUUAUUUUUUUACAUAUUUUAAUAUUUUUUUAAAUAAAUUUACAUUUUAAUAUUUUAAAAUAAAAACAUUCAAAAUUAGGAAGAUAAAUAUAAAAAAAUUAAAAGGGAAGUAAUAGUAAUAUUUAAAAUAAGAUUAAUGAAAUAAUUAUUAUAUAUUUAAUAUUAAAACUAUAUUUUAUUUAAUUUAAAUACAUUUAAUAAUAUAAAAUAAAUAAUUAUGCAUAUGAUUUUUUAAUUUUUAUAUUUUUAUAUUUAAUUAUCAUAUAAAUGAUAUAAAAAGACUUGUUAAGAAAAUUAUAAUGCUGGUUUUUAUACUUUUAUUAAUCAAUUAAAUAAAAUUUAAAAUAAAAUAAUUAAAAUUAAUUUAUUCUUCUAUUUUUUAAUAAUGAAGUUUAAGGUGUUCAGUGUGAACAUUUACUUACAAAAGUGAACUUGGUCUAGUGGUAGCCACACAGGGUUCAAAUCCCCCGCUGCAAGAAAAAUGUGAAGUUUGGCCAGAGUUGGAACCCCUUUCUACAAGAAAAAUGUGAAGGGGCUUGGCCCGCUUAGCUGCAAUAUAGGUGAUAUUUUAGAAAAAUUUUUGAAAAAUGGGUCGACCAAUUAUGUAGAAUGUCGUGUCAGCCCUCACCGAUAUUUUGACGAAAUUUCGCGAUAUUUUAAAUCAUGAUUGUAACACUAUGGCACCAUUGCAACUGUACUACCACAAAGGAAUAAUGUCUUGGGAAAUUUAUUUAUUUUUCUUAUUGUUAUAAAAUGAGAAAACAAAUUGAAUAAAGUACAUAAUUCUCUAGUAUUAACCAUGAAUACCAUAUUAAUUACAUGCUUUGACACAAGAAAUUAUGAGAUCAGGGGUGCUGGUUCUGAGGGCUGGUAGGAGGGGAUGGAGGGUAGUAGUAGGGAAUCCAAGUUCUGGGGUCUUCCCAGUUGAAUGCUGGAGGAGGAGGGUUUAGUGAAGGGAUGUAGGGUGUCCAAGUUUUGGGGUCUCCCAAGUUGAAUGCUGGAGGAGGAGGGUUUAGUGAAGGGAUGUAGGGUGUCCAAGUUUUGGGGUCUCCCAAGUUGAAUGCUGGUGGAGGAGGAGGGGUUAGUGAAGGGAUGUAGGGUGUCCAAGUUUUGGGGUCUCCCAAGUUGAAUGCUGGUGGGGGAGGGGGAGACAGGGAAGGUAUGUGUGGUAUCCACGUUCUGGGGUCUCCCCAGUUGAACGCAGGCGGAGGAGGGGGAGGAAGGGAGAGAGGUGGGGUUGGAGGGAAAGGGAAGGGUAGAGAUGGUGGUGUUUUGAAUGGUAAUGGAGGAAAUGGAAGUGAUGGAAAUGGGGGCAAUGGGGAAAAGGGAAAAGGCAAUGUUGGCAGAGGAGGUAGCCGAGGCAGAGGAGGUAGCCGAGGCAGAGGAGGUAGCUGAGGCAGAGGAGGUAGCUGAGGCAGAGGCGGUAGCUGAGGCAGAGGAGGUAGGGGAGGUAAAGAAGGCCAAGGGAAGCCAAAUGGUGGAAAGCAAGGCAGAAAGAAUUUUGCAGAAUUUAAGUCAUUUGGCAAUUCCUGUGUUUGAUCUCCACAAAUUGUGGUGUUCCUCUUGGAUGGUCUGUAGCUCAAAGCAUUCAAGUUGAAGAUGCAGAGGUUGUCCUGUUUUGAUUUCACCGAGAUGGCAUUAGUCGUCGUCUUCAAGCCAGGAACAUUGCAGGCUGAUGAUGAGCUCCCAAUCAACUUUGCCUGGCAAAGAGUCUGCAUUGUGUGACCUCCUAUGCAGUCAAUUCCAUCAACAGAUGGUAU
rnacentral:lncRNA from 1 species